rnacentral:rRNA from 1 species
AUUGAACGCUGGCGGCAGGCUUAACACAUGCAGGUCGAGCGGGGGAAGGUAGCUUGCUACCGGACCUAGCGGCGGACGGGUGAGUAAUGCUUAGGAAUCUGCCUUUUAGUGGGGGACAACAUCUCGAAAGGGAUGCUAAUACCGCAUACGUCCUACGGGAGAAAGCAGGGGAUCUUCGGACCUUGCGCUAAUAGAUGAGCCUAAGUCGGAUUAGCUAGUUGGUGGGGUAAAGGCCUACCAAGGCGACGAUCUGUAGCGGGUCUGAGAGGAUGAUCCGCCAAACGGGGACUGAGACACGGCCCAGACUCCGACGGGAGGCAGCAGUGGGGAAUAUUGGACAAUGGGGGGAACCCUGAUCCAGCCAUGCCGCGUGUGUGAAGAAGGCCUUAUGGUUGUAAAGCACUUUAAGCGAGGAGGAGGCUACUUUAGUUAAUACCUAGAGAUAGUGGACGUUACUCGCAGAAUAAGCACCGGCUAACUCUGUGCCAGCAGCCGCCGUAAAAC